GAUGAACGCUGGCGGCGUGCCUAAUACAUGCAAGUCGAGCGAACAGACGAGGAGCUUGCUCCUCUGACGUUAGCGGCGGACGGGUGAGUAACACGUGGAUAACCUACCUAUAAGACUGGGAUAACUUCGGGAAACCGGAGCUAAUACCGGAUAAUAUAUUGAACCGCAUGGUUCAGUAGUGAAAGACGGUUUUGCUGUCACUUAUAGAUGGAUCCGCGCCGCAUUAGCUAGUUGGUAAGGUAACGGCUUACCAAGGCAACGAUGCGUAGCCGACCUGAGAGGGUGAUCGGCCACACUGGAACUGAGACACGGUCCAGACUCCUACGGGAGGCAGCAGUAGGGAAUCUUCCGCAAUGGGCGAAAGCCUGACGGAGCAACGCCGCGUGAGUGAUGAGGGUCUUCGGAUCGUAAAACUCUGUUAUUAGGGAAGAACAAAUGUGUAAGUAACUAUGCACGUCUUGACGGUACCUAAUCAGAAAGCCACGGCUAACUACGUG
rnacentral:rRNA from 1 species